CCAAGGGCUUGAGCAGUAACUCCCCAGCACCACCUUGUGAGAACAGGCCUCAAGGGGCUGACUUUGUUUUAUCUUGCUUAUGGAAAGAGGAAUGUGCCCAAGAAAGCUGGAAGCCUGUGAGGGAUCAUUCAUUGUGCACUCAAUCUUUCUAAUCCUCAAAUUCAAUGUCCUUCAGUGAUUUUUGAAUGAUGUAUUCAGAUGCUCGCCAGAGCUAAAUUGUUUUCUUAGCUGACAUUAAUGCUGUGUUCUAGUCGGUGGCCAGGAGGAGGAGGUGGUGGCAGUGGUAGAGGAGCGGGCAGGGAACCACAGUGCUGCCGGGGCCAUGGACUGCCGGGCAGGGGCCGCCACUGCUGCCUUUGC